rnacentral:rRNA from 1 species
AACGAACGCUGGCGGCAUGCCUAACACAUGCAAGUCGAACGAGACCUUCGGGUCUAGUGGCGCACGGGUGCGUAACGCGUGGGAACCUGCCCUUAGGUUCGGAAUAACUCCCCGAAAGGGGUGCUAAUACCGGAUAAUGUCUUCGGACCAAAGAUUUAUCGCCUUUGGAUGGGCCCGCGUUGGAUUAGCUAGUUGGUAGGGUAAAAGCAUACCAAGGCGACGAUCCAUAGCUGGUCUGAGAGGAUGAUCAGCCACACUGAGACUGAGACACGGCCCAGACUCCGACGGGAGGCAGCAGUGGGGAAUAUUGGAGAAUGGGCGAAAGCCUGAUCCAGCAAUGCCGCGUGAGUGAUGAAGGCCUUAGGGUUGUAAAGCUCUUUUACCCGGGAUGAUAAUGACAGUACCGGGAGAAUAAGCUCCGGCUAACUCCGUG